AGACAAUAAAAUAAUGGGAUAGGAAAGUAGGCCAUAUUUUUCAUAUUGAAAUUCACAUGCCACACUUUCAUUAACAUCACCACUCAUAGUAUAUUUACAAUACUAUUUACAGCAUAAAAGUCUCACACCUAUCUACACUAAGACAGGGUUCACAAAAGGGAUGGGAUCCCAAUCCACAUCUGGGUUAUAUUCAAGAUCCCUCUCUGGAUCAUCUUCUACUUCAAAAUACUUUCUCCCCUUCAGGUUCUUCCUCCUCAGCUUUUCCUCCUCAGGGUCCUGAAAUGGUUAUUUAAUAACCAAUGAGACCACGUCUCAGCGAGUCCUACCCCCUACGACUCGAUUAGUAAACUAAUACACCAUACGGUUGCCUAAGCACAACACGAGUCAGAGGACUUACCUUGGCCUCAGUUCCAACCUGCAAUUCAAGGUUAAACAUAGAUAUUCAAACAAUUCACGACAUCCGAUCAAGCACUGGUCAAUCGACUAAGUCGAUUACAUGUCAGCCAGACCCUUUCUAGGUCAUUCCCACUCAUACCACGACUUCCCAGUGGUGUACUCAUUCACCAAAUCACAUGUGUUUCUCGGGCGUCGAUUUCGCCAAUGACAUACCGAUCACCGACACCGUGCGUUCUUUAAGGUGCCGUUUUCACCAGUGAUAACCUUGAUCACCGAACCACGUGUCCUUUCUAGGGUGCCGUUUUCGCCAAUGUGACAUCGGCUAUAGACAACAUCGUGCGUUCUUUAAGGCGCCGUUUUCACCAGUGAUAUUCUCAUAACCACUGAACCACGUUUGUCUAUAAGUCAUUUACGUGCGUUCUUUAAGGCGCCGUUUUUGCCAGUGAUAUUUCCAAUCACCGAACCACGUAUGUCCAAUAACAUCGUACCUGAUUGGUCUCAGCCAAUAACAUUCUCAGUUAGCUCUCACCGUUCUCCCUACUAUAUAGCCCAUCAACGUACUGGCGCUAUAUACCCAUAUUCGGCCAACAACCAAUCAAAUAUUCAAUAACAAACAAUUUCGGACAAUUCCUAAAAUUCCACAAUAAAUUCAAUUCCACACAACGUAGAGCUCAAAUAAAUAAACAGACUGCACCACGACAAUCAGCACGAAAUUCCGGUCAUCGGCCAUCCCGGUUGAAUUUCCGGAAAAAUAAUUAAUUAAAUAAAUAAAUUUCGAAAAUAAAUAAAUAAACAUUAAAAAUCCAAUUUAGGCCCAUAUUGCCUUAUUGGAGCCCGAAACGGGUCGGGAAAAAUCCCGAGAUGCAUUCAAUAAAUAGCCGAACAUUUCUACUUGCUAAUAGCUAGGUCUAACCACCUAACAUGCAUAAUUAAGUCACUAAAUUAAUUGUUCUAACCUAAUCUAACCACCUAAUUGCACUUAAUUAAAUCUAACCAAUCUUAAGCAUAAUUAGCAAACUAAUAAAGCAUUAGUGAGUAAAACUCACUUGACAAAAGCGGAGAUCGAAUCACCGCAACGGCGACGCGACGGCGGCCGAAAUCGGACUUUCGACGACACCGGCGGACUUGGACCGGGCCUUAAGCUUAGGCCCAACAAAUCUCAGCAAGGCUGGGCUUUACUGCUGGAAUCUUGGGCUGAACUUGAUUUGGACUUAAUUCUGCUUGGGCUGAAAACGUGGGCCAAACUGCUGUUCACUUGGGCUGGAAUUCUGCAAGCUGAGCUGGAACUUACAAGCUGAUGGGCCAAAUUUCGUUGGGCUUUGAAUGGGCGUGAGGUUCGUGGACUGUUGCAGUGGAAUUGGGUCGAAGAUCUGAAGACGCUGGGCUGCUUCAACGAAACGCCGGUGCUGGACUGCUGACCUCAAUCGGCUUGGUCGACUGAACACGAGGCAGAAAGAAGACGCGGCAACAGCUCCAUUGAGUCCUCCAGCUACUUCGGUUGAUUGACCAGAGGAAGGCACGAGCAGGCUGGUGCUCGUAUGGGUCUUGGAGGAGAUGGGCUUUAACGUGGCAGCUUUGGCGAGGCUGCAGCUGGGUUUCGUGUCUUCGUGGGCGGCUGAGUCGAAGACACGAACGGUGGAGUCAACGAACGAAAAAGGAAUUCGCUGGUGGAGGCUUACGGAUGACAAGAAACCGAAGGGAAUCAGCUGCGUGAGGCCAUGUGGGGCUUCGGUCUUCAGAGAUGGGCUGGUUUGCUGACCUGCGGAUGAAGACACGAAGAUGAGUGGUCUUCAACGCUGGUUUGUUGACUAAACAACCCGCAGACGCGGCCAAGUGAUAGCGUGGAGAGGAGAGAACUUCGGUGGGACGUUGGCAGCUUCUGAUUUCUGGCUUCUUCGCUGCUGGAGAAGACACGAAGUAGUGGAGCUGCACGCGGUCAACAAUCUUGCUGAGACUGACCAAAAUCUCGGUGGAUUGGUCUUCGGUGCAGCUGGCGGACGAAGGGAAAUUUUCAAAGGGAGCAGCUUGGUCUUCUUCAGUUUCUGUUGG
rnacentral:lncRNA from 1 species